CAACCAGAUAUUCCAAACUCUUUGUGACAUCUGAAUGAAAUGUGUUUAUUAGGCUAUGYGUCUCUGUCAGAGUUGCCAAGGAAACAAUUGAGGAAGUUAAGAAUCUUGGUGCCUUUUCGAUUUUCAACCAACACAUCCGUACCACCAUCGACUGAGCGUCAUGUCUAGGAAGGGUGCUCAUCAACAUCAACAGGCUUCUCAGCAAGAUCCCCUCUUUGAUGGAGCUGGAUGAGGUUGACCUGGAGGAAAAUGAGGCGCAGGUCAACGUUAACCCACUUCCUGGGCUGACAGGGGCGGUUACUAGACCUUAUGGUCGGCUUUAGGGAGGAUGACGUGGAGACUCAGUUUGGACAGGUCCACUGCACCAUGAAGGGGGUUCCCAAGGGCAGCCGUCCCGUCAUCAUGACCUUCCACGAUAUUGGACUGAACUACAAGUCGUGCUUCAACCCCCUGUUCAGCCACGAGGAC